rnacentral:rRNA from 1 species
UACGAAGGGGGCUAGCGUUGUUCGGAAUUACUGGGCGUAAAGCGCGCGCAGGUGGUCUUUCAAGUCAGUGGUGAAAGCCCGGAGCUCAACUCCGGAAAUGCCAUUGAAACUGUAAGACUUGAGGAUGAGAGAGGUGAGUGGAAUUCCCAGUGUAGAGGUGAAAUUCGUAGAUAUUGGGAAGAACACCGGUGGCGAAGGCGGCUCACUGGCCCAUAUCUGACGCUCAGGCGCGACAGCGUGGGGAUCAAACAGG